rnacentral:rRNA from 1 species
AGUGAACGCUGGCGGUAUGCCUAACACAUGCAAGUCGAACGGCAGCACAGUAAGAGCUUGCUCUUACGGGUGGCGAGUGGCGGACGGGUGAGGAAUACAUCGGAAUCUACUUUUUCGUGGGGGAUAACGUAGGGAAACUUACGCUAAUACCGCAUACGACCUACGGGUGAAAGCAGGGGAUCUUCGGACCUUGCGCGAUUGAAUGAGCCGAUGUCGGAUUAGCUAGUUGGCGGGGUAAAGGCCCACCAAGGCGACGAUCCGUAGCUGGUCUGAGAGGAUGAUCAGCCACACUGGAACUGAGACACGGUCAAGACUCCUACGGGAGGCAGCAGUGGGGAAUAUUGGACAAUGGGCGCAAGCCUGAUCCAGCCAUACCGCGUGGGUGAAGAAGGCCUUCGGGUUGUAAAGCCCUUUUGUUGGGAAAGAAAAGCAGCAGGUUAAUACCCCGCUGUUCUGACGGUACCCAAAGAAUAAGCACCGGCUAACUUCGUG